rnacentral:rRNA from 1 species
GAUGAACGCUAGCGGCAGGCCUAACACAUGCAAGUCGAGGGGUAACUAGAGUGAUAGCAAUAUUACUUUGGCUAGACCGGCGCACGGGUGCGUAACACGUAUGCAACCUACCUUAUACUGGGGAAUAACUUCGAGAAAUCGGCGCUAAUACCCCAUAACACUGCGGAGAGGCAUCUCUUUGCAGUUAAAGCUCCGGCGGUAUAAGAUGGGCAUGCGUCCAAUUAGCUAGUUGGUGAGGUAACGGCUCCGCAAUGCUACGAUUGGUAGGGGUUCUAAGAGGAUGAUCCCCCACACUGGUACGGAGACACGGACCAGACUCCUACGGGAGGCAGCAGUGAGGAAUAUUGCGCAAUGGACGAAAGUCUGACGCAGCCAUGCCGCGUGCAGGAUGACGGCCCUAUGGGUUGUAAACUGCUUUUGUACGGGAAUAAACCCUUCUACGUGUAGGAGGCUGAAGGUACCGUAAGAAUAAGCACCGGCUAACUCCGUGCCAGCCGCCGCCGUAA